CCUACGGGAGGCAGCAGUAGGGAAUCUUCCACAAUGGGCGAAAGCCUGAUGGAGCAACGCCGCGUGGGUGAAGAAGGUCUUCGGAUCGGAAAACCCUGUUGGUAGAGAAGAAAGUGCGGGAGAGGAACUGGUCACGUGUCGACGGUAUCUAACCAGAAAGCCACGGCUAACUACGUGCCAGCAGCCGCGGUAAUACGUAGGUGGCAAGCGUUAUCCGGAUUUAUUGGGCGUAAAGGGAACGAAGGCGGUCUUUUAAGUCGGAUGUGAAAGCCUUCGGCUUACCCGGAGUAGUGCAUUGGAAACUGGGAGCCUUGAGUGCAGCAGUGGAGAGUGGCACUCCAUGUGUAGCGGUGCACUGCGUCGCUCUAUGGAAG
rnacentral:rRNA from 1 species